AUUGAACGCUGGCGGAAUGCUUUACACAUGCAAGUCGAGCGGCAGCGCGGGGGCAACCCUGGCGGCGAGCGGCGAACGGGUGAGUAAUACAUCGGAACGUGUCCUUGAGUGGGGGAUAGCUCGGCGAAAGCCGGAUUAAUACCGCAUAAGCUCUGAGGAGGAAAGCGGGGGACUGGUAACGGCCUCGCGCUGUUGGAGCGGCCGAUGUCGGAUUAGCUAGUUGGUGGGGAAAGGCCCACCAAGGCGACGAUCCGUAGCUGGUCUGAGAGGAUGAUCAGCCACACUGGAACUGAGACACGGUCCAGACUCCUACGGGAGGCAGCAGUGGGAAUUUGGACAAUGGGGGAAACCCUGAUCCAGCGACGCCGCGUGUGUGAAGAAGGCCUGCGGGUUGUAAAGCACUUUCGGU
rnacentral:rRNA from 1 species